AGAAAUCGGAAGAGAAAGAGACCAAGCUCCACACAUCACAUACAGUGGCUUUUGGAAACCCUAACUCCCACUCUCCCACUCUCACUCGCUCUUCAAGCCAAGGUAACACGAGGAUAGGAAGGUUUUCCAAGUCCAAUUACAUAAUAAAGCAGAAUACAUAGCUUCCAACGAUUAACCUAGUGAGAAAGUGAAAAGGGAAAAUGAGCGGCGCCGCCAAAAACAAUGGCACCAAUGUAGGAGCAGGAGGAGGUUUCAUGUCCAAAAUGGAUCACUUCCUCUACAGCGGGGACAAGAAGCACGUCGUGGCUGGCAUUGCUGUCUUUACUGUCAUCUUUGGCAUCCCUUGGUACUUCAUGAACCGAGGGUCAAAACAUCAGUCCCAUCAAGAUUACUUGGAAAAGGCUGAUAAAGCACGGAGUGAAAGACUUUCUUCAGGUUCAUCUUCUGCCAAAUGAUUUUUGAGAGCUUUCUGUUGAACUGGGGUGGCUUCCACCAUGCAUUUUGACAGAUUUUGAUGAUAAAUCUAUUUGGGGUUGUGUUUCUCUUUCAGCCUUAUGUGCAGAAUGGCUUCUGUUAGUCCUUGUAGAACUCCCAAUUUGGGAUGAAUUUUGUUUCUUAUCAAUCCCCCCUCCCCCACAAAAAAA